rnacentral:SRP_RNA from 1 species
GGAAGGUAUGCUUCAAUAAAAAGCUAUGAAUCUCGUCAGGUUCGGAAGAAAGCAGCGAUAAGUAGUGUAUUUAUGUGAGCUCUGCAUACCUUCCUUA